rnacentral:piRNA from 1 species
UGUCACAUCAACUAGCCUCUGUCAC